ACCCAAGAAGAUUCUUUCUCCAGGGAUAAAUCAUAAAAUUGAAAAUAACCUGUUCUCGUGGGGUAAAUCAUAUACCCCAGGAAUGUAGCCCCUUGGGAAAAUAUCUGGAACUCUUGAGGAUGUUGUCAUAGAUGAAUGAUGUGAUUGUUUUUGCUCUCCUUACAUUCUCAUUAUAC